rnacentral:rRNA from 1 species
UACGGAGGGGGCUAGCGUUGUUCGGAAUUACUGGGCGUAAAGCGCACGUAGGCGGCUUUGCAAGUUAGAGGUGAAAGCCCGGGGCUCAACUCCGGAAUUGCCUUUAAAACUGCAUCGCUAGAAUUGUGGAGAGGUAAGUGGAAUUCCGAGUGUAGAGGUGAAAUUCGUAGAUAUUCGGAAGAACACCAGUGGCGAAGGCGACUUACUGGCCUAUAACUGACGCUGAGGCGCGAAAGCGUGGGGAGCAAACAGG